GACGAACGCUGGCGGCGCGCCUAACACAUGCAAGUCGAACGGUGAAGAGGAGCUUGCUCCUCGGAUCAGUGGCGGACGGGUGAGUAACACGUGAGCAACCUGGCUCUAAGAGGGGGACAACAGUUGGAAACGACUGCUAAUACCGCAUAACGUAUCGGGAUGGCAUCUUCCUGAUACCAAAGAUUUUAUCGCUUAGAGAUGGGCUCGCGUCUGAUUAGAUAGUUGGCGGGGUAACGGCCCACCAAGUCGACGAUCAGUAGCCGGACUGAGAGGUUGAACAGCCACAUUGGGACUGAGACACGGCCCAGACUCCUACGGGAGGCAGCAGUGGGGGAUAUUGCACAAUGGGGGGAACCCUGAUGCAGCGACGCCGCGUGGAGGAAGAAGGUCUUCGGAUUGGUAAAACUCCUGUUGUUGGGGAAGAUAAUGACGGUACCAACAAGGAAGCGAACGGGCUAAAC
rnacentral:rRNA from 1 species